rnacentral:siRNA from 1 species
GGAUGCUCAUCUUGGGUGUCA